GAUGAAGAACGUAGCGAAAUGCGAUACUCGGUGUGAAUUGCAGAAUCCCGUGAACCAUCGAGUCUUUGAACGCAAGUUGCGCCCGAAGCCAUUUGGUUGAGGGCACGUCUGCCUGGGCGUCACAUAUCGUUGCCCGAUGCCUAUUGCACUGUGAUAGGAAAUUCUAGGGCGAAAGAUGGCUUCCCGUGAGCGUUGUUGCCUCGCGGUUGGUUGAAAAUUGAGUCCUUGGUAGGGUGUGCCAUGAUAGAUGGUGGUCGAGUUUGCACGAGACCGAUCAUGUGUGCGCUCCCCAAAAUAUGGACUCUUUGACCCCACACGCGUCUUUUGACGCUCAUGACGAGACCUCAGGUCAGGCGGGGCUACCCGCUGAGUUUAAGCAUAUCAAUAAGCGGAGGA
rnacentral:misc_RNA from 1 species